rnacentral:rRNA from 1 species
CUGCUGCCUUCCGUAGGAGUCUGGGCCGUGUCUCAGUCCCAAUGUGGCCGGCCAACCUCUCAGUCCGGCUACUGAUCGUCGCCUUGGUGGGCCGUUACCCCGCCAACUAGCUAAUCAGACGCGAGUCCAUCUCAGAGCGAUAAAUCUUUGGCAGUCAGAGCCAUGCGACUCAACUGCAUCAUGCGGUAUUAGCAGCUGUUUCCAACUGUUAUUCCCCAUCCAAGGCAGGUUACU